rnacentral:lncRNA from 1 species
CCUUUGGCAUCCUCACAAAUCCUCCCACAGGCAUAAGUCAACCUCCACACACCUGUGCAGGCAUGCACAUUUGUACACAAGCACACACGUACAUGAAUCUGUGAAGGACAUCCUAAUGAAAUCAAAGCAUCUUUGAAGGCGGUGAAGGCAUUGUAGGUUUGGGUGGAAAGUGAGGUCAACUUUAUUCAACCCAAAGACAGAGUGAACAGAAAACCAUGCUGUACAUCUCACAGAAUUCUCAAUUGUUUUAGCAGGGGCCAAAAUGGGGCCUUCAAAAUGCAAAGCUAGGAUGGUGGCCUGGUCCACUUAGACUACAUUAGUAUUUUCUCCUUGUUGUAUCCAAGAAAAAGAGGCAUGGACGUGGCCCUGUGAAAGGACCAUCUCUUUUCAGCAUGGGGCAGGAGCCAAACUGUACCCUGGAACACCUACAGAUAUCAUUGGUUUGACCUGGACAAGAACUCAGAGGCGGGUGAACUCACUUCACCUGAGUUCUUGGGAACAGACCCCUUCUCUGUGAAUCUGAAACUCAAGGGCACAAGGGAAAAACGCCAGCAUGGAUGUUUUCUCAGGGACCCAUCUUGGUAACUUUCCAGUUAAGCUGGAGAUGGAGGCGCCAGGU